ACUAGUUGCCAAAGGGUAUAUCCAAGUAGAGGGUAUAGACUACUUUGAGAGUUUCUCACCAAUGGCAAAAGUAGUAACUAUGAGAGCUAUCAUUGCUGCUAUUGCAUUCUUAGGAUGGGAGAUACAUCAAUUGAAUAUUAAUAACGCUUUCUUGCAUGGCUACUUAGAUGAAGAGAUCUACAUGAUGCCACCUAAAGGAUAUCCAGCCCCACCAGGACAGGUAGUUCCAGUUCCCAAAUUGCAGCAGUAAAGGACUAUCUACACAAGGUGUUCACAAUCAAGGACCUAGGCCAGCUAAGUUCUUCCUAGGGCUGGAGAUUGCUCGAGCACCUGAAGGAAUCAUGCUGACACAAACUAAAUAUAUACAUGACAUAUUUCAGACCUGAACCUAGCAAAUGCAAAGGCUGCCAACACUCCAUUUCCUGUUGGAAUCAAGCUCAUUGCUCUGUCUGAAAAUGUUCUUCCUCAUCCAUCUGUUUAUAGGCGAUUGGUGGGAAGAUUGCUCUAUCUAGACUUUACUAGACCUGAUUUAUCUUAUGUCACGCAAGAAUUGAGUCAAUUUCUUCAAACACCUUGCUAAACACAUUGGGAUGCAGCUGUUCAUGCAGUUUGAUACUUAAAAGGAACUUCCAAGAAGAGACCCUUCUUUUCUUCCACUGCACAAUCCAAUCUAACAAGCUACUGUGAUGCAGAUUGGGCUUCAUGCCUUGACAGCAGGAGAUCUUUAACAGGGUAUUGUAUUUUUCUAGGGAUAUCUCUAAUAUCUUGGAAGACAAAGAAGCAGAACACCGUAUCACGUUCUACAGCAGAAGCAGAGUAUAGGGCCAUGGUUCUGCAGCAUGUGAGCUGGUUUGGUUAUCCUCUAUUCUCCAAGAUCUUGGAAUUAAUACUCCUAAACCAAUUCCUUUUUAUUGUGACAAUAGAGCUGCUUUGCACAUUGUCAACAAUCCCAUUUUUCAUGAGCGUACUAAACAUCUAGAAAUAGAUUGUCAUCUUGUUCGUGAUCAUUAUAAAUCUGGUUUUUCUAGCUCCUUCUCACGUUUCAUCCAAAGAGCAAUUAGCUGAUAUCCUUACAAAUCCACUCACUGGACCUCUCGUUCACUCUUUCUUUGGCAAGCUUGGCAUGGUUGAUUUCAUCCCCAGUCCAGCUUGAGGGGGGUUUGACAAAAUAGCUGAAGCUUGCAGAUGAUCUAGGCUGUAAUUUACUACACUGCAACACUAUAACUGAAGAAGAAGAAGAAGAAGACGUUUUGAUCAAAGCUGAAGUAGUGCUAAAAAGCAUGAGAGUGUUUUUAUUGUUGUUUUUACUUAUAGCUAGUUCUAUCUUUCUCGUGUUUUCUCUUUUGUAGGCGCUAUUACGUUUUUAUAAGUGUAUUAUAUUUUCUAGCUUCUAACACUUUAAGAUAGCCAUUGAGUUGGUUGAGCCCAGCAACCGUCUGCUGAUUUGUAUAUGUACUGAAGCUCAUUUAAUUUGAAGCUCAAGAACACUGAUUUUGAUUGCAAGAUUUACAGAGAUAAAAAUCUCUCUUCUUGUUUCUUGAUAGCUACUAUGGCGGAUUGUUACUAGUGAGAUCCCAAAACCUUCCAAGAAAGAUGGGAAGACGAAGAAAAAUUCACUGAUCGAUUGGAAACAUGGGAAGGAGUCGUAGACAAGGGAGAUACUUGGGACCGGGCGAAAAGUUGGUCGAUUAUUAGAUCUCUUCGACAUAUACAAGCAAUUUGCACAUAUGAUUGCUACUCAGUUUUCUUGUAAAAUAAAAAUCCUUCUUGCUAAUAAUGACAUGGUGAAUAUAAAGAAACCACUCUUCUUCAAUUUUCAAUCUCAGAAUGGCACAUUAGUUCAAACAUCUUGUCCUGGAACAUCAUCUCAAAAUGGUUUGAACAUUUCUUGAAUAUUGUUAGAACAUUUCUGACAUCC